UUGUCGUAAUUUCUGCUUCUUGCUAUGUUUUGAUAUAGUUAUAAAGCCAGCAAAUACGAAUAUCUCAUAAAACUAGUAAAUGCACGGGGUAAUAAAUAAAUACGGACGUCAAAUCUGUUGUCUGUUCUCUCUCAUCAUUGGUAGCGUGAAUAACUAGUCAAUAGUAAAAUGAUACUUUUAUUAAACAGCCGAUAUAUUUCCAUACAAGUACAAUAUUCCAACAAUAAUAUAUAUAAUUUACAUACGGGCGGAGCUACUAAAAUAAUAUUCUUUCUCGUGUACGGGUCAACUGGAAUUAUCUUAAAUAUUUCAAUGACAAUAUAAAUAAAAUGCAAGGCAUACAGCUAUCUGCGCUGCUUCUUACCUCUAAAAUUAUAACCCUUACUUGUAAUAUAAAAUGCGAGGCAUACAGCUAAUGCGCUGCUUCUUACCUCUAGGAACCCCCGGGAUGAGCCUUGCUGCAAGCCAAAAGUAAACACAGCAAAGACUGACGAACGUGACGUUGCACUGGUAUUUAUUUCAAAUUACCGGA
rnacentral:lncRNA from 1 species